GCCGCCGUGGCGGAAUGGUAGACGCUCCGGACUUAAAAUCCGUUGGUCCGCAAGGACCGUGGGGGUUCGAGUCCCCCCGGCGGCA
rnacentral:tRNA from 1 species